GAUGAACGCUGGCGGCGUGCCUAAUACAUGCAAGUCGAGCGAACAGACGAGGAGCUUGCUCCUCUGACGUUAGCGGCGGACGGGUGAGUAACACGUGGAUAACCUACCUAUAAGACUGGGAUAACUUCGGGAAACCGGAGCUAAUACCGGAUAAUAUAUUGAACCGCAUGGUUCAAUAGUGAAAGACGGUUUUGCUGUCACUUAUAGAUGGAUCCGCGCCGCAUUAGCUAGUUGGUAAGGUAACGGCUUACCAAGGCAACGAUGCGUAGCCGACCUGAGAGGGUGAUCGGCCACACUGGAACUGAGACACGGUCCAGACUCCUACGGGAGGCAGCAGUAGGGAAUCUUCCGAAAUGGGCGAAAGCCUGACGGAGCAACGCCGCGUGAGUGAUGAAGGUCUUCGGAUAGUAAAACGCUGUUAUUAGGGAAGAACAAAUGUGUAAGUAACUAUGCACGUCUUGACGGUACCUAAUCAGAAAGCCACGGCUAACUACGUG
rnacentral:rRNA from 1 species